AGCUAGAGUGGGACCCGUGCAACAGGCCAAAAGCAGGCUGUCGACAAGCAACUCCCCCGUCUCCCGUGACUGACGCGCCGUUCGGUUCAAGCUUCAUAGUUUCAAGACACCGGAGAGUUUGGACGUGUUUGAAGCUGCUCCUACUUUGCAGUUAAAAGUUUUUGCUGACUUUUAAUAGCAUAUUUCUACACCCUUUUGACUCUACUCUAAGGACGUUUCUUCCACUUUUAAGGUGUCAAGUACUACUCCACUGCUGACCAGUUCCCCCUGCACGAUUUGUCUCUGUGGAGCAAAGAUGGCAUCCACUUGAGCGACGACAAGGGCAUGCUUGUCCUUGCUGACUUGCUGUGGACCGUUUUUCGAGCAUGUGCAGAUGUCAGCGGCUAACGAGCCGGAGCCGACUGCUCUGCCUGCUCGUCGUGCGGUCCCAGCUCUUCCGCGGGUCCGGCCGCGUGUGGUUUUGUGUGAAGAGGACCGUGUCCCUCACCACGCCAAACCUAAACCUGAUGCUGAUGUCUUUCUGCCAGUGGAGGGCAGGAUGAGGAAGUCAUCAGGGGAAGCUUCCUCUCGUGUUUCAAAGAGGACGGCACAAGAGCAGUGCUGGCCAGCAUGGACGCGGUUGUGCCGUCCCAUCUUCCUGCUCCUGAGUGUCCUCCAGUUCCACCAGCCAAGAGGCCCCCUGCGGGACCUCGGGCACAGCGAGUUGCCUCACAGGGGAGACCUGCAAAGUUUUCUUCAAUAUUUAAUGUCCAGGCAACUGCCAGUGUUGUGGAGGUGGGUCCCGGGCUCACACCUGCCAGACCCUUUGUGUGGCUGCAGAGGAGGAGGAGUCGGCACCCACCCGGGCGGUGUACGAGUUGCCGGAGAUGUCCCCUGUCCCAGCUGCUGCCCCAGAGGACCAGAGCAGACGAGGAGGACAUUGAGAGAGACCUUGAUGAAGUGGAACAGCAGAGACCAAGAAGAGUGGGGAAGAGCUGAGGGCGAUUGCAGUAACUCUGGGCACCUAGACCCAUUGCCUUGUAGAGUAUUUGUCCACCUUUGGUUUGUUUCUUGGAUAUGUCACUGUAGUUACAUUGACCUUGGUUUUUUGCACAUCACACCUUCACACACAGCCAUCCACCAUCCUGACACUACUGAAAUCACUGAUCAUAGCCGAUCACUGAUCAAAUUUUCUCUCCCUAAGUGCUGUCUCAGAGCAGCCUGAUUGUAAAACUGGCCACCUUUGAUGCCGCAGCCAGAUAACGCAGUACUUCACUGUUAAACUGACAAUGGAAAAUUGACCAGCGAUUAGCGUUUUACUGAACAUCCUAUCAGAACUCUUCUUAAAGAAAGGGCAGGAAACCCUAAACCCAAACCUUGAAUUUAAGGUUAAGUAACCAAAUUUCCCAGUUCCUGAGCAAAGAUUGUUUUAGGAUUAAUCAGAGCUAUCCUCAUGUUACCCGAGCUCCCCCAAGUGGACAAAAUAAGUAUUACAUGCAAAAAUGCCUUUAAUGUAUAAAUGUCACUCGGUAUUUAUCCCCUCCGGGAAAUGAAGGACUGCCCUCUGGGAACCACGCCCCAACAGACAAAACAGCGACACACGCUGUUGUUCACUCUCUUGACGCUUCCCUCUUGUUCUUUGUGCUCUGCUUGUUCCUGACUCUUCGACGGCGGUUCUCCGGGCAACGCCCUAAGAGUUCGGCCCAGCGCUUCAAGCUACACUCGCGAAGUGCUGUGACCUCAGCUUUCCCUCAUUUCAGCAGCUUACUUGUUUUAUUUGCUUUGGUUUUGUUUUGUUAAAGUUAUCAGUCCGUUGAAUUACCCUAGUUUUAAUUCAAGAACGAUGAAGUAUAAGCUUUAUUUCGUCGCGCUAACUUCACCGAGGUCAGAUCAACCCACGUGGUCGCGCCAGCAGUAACAAAGGACGACUAAUACCUCUGACCCGAGACAGGGUUGGGAAGGCCCCACUGCGAGUUUCUCGAUUAAAGCUGACAAGAGACGGACCCCCGGAUCAAUUACCUGGCAGAGAAAGCGACUGGCCGACGGCUUGAAGCUGUCCCAAACGAGAACGCACGGACUCUGCCAGUGUGAGGCCAUUUUACCAACAACCCGGCGGGAGAAACACAAGCAAGACCUCUGAUUACACACACCUCUUCAUCAAACUCAUCAGCCGCAGUAUAUCUACCCAACCCAGUCAUCGCCAGAUUUUUCAGUCUACUACCUCGGUAGUAACUGUCAGGUGUCAGUAGUAGAGCUCUCGUUCACUUUGUGUUUCUUUGAUUGUUUGCUUCCUGCAAUACUAAUGUCUGCUCUCCUGUGUUCACGCUCUGCAUCGUUGUUACCCAGCCUCUCCAGAGAUUCCUCAUCCACUUCUACCUCCCUGUCUGCUCCGUUCACUCCAGCCACUGCCUGCCUUCCCCUGUGCUUCCCCACUGGAAAACCCUCAGCUCACGCCAUUCCAUUCCCCGCUUCCUUCUGCAAUAAAUUUUUUUUAAACAUUUA